CGAGGCUUCUUGAUCCUAUGUGUUGUAUUGAGUGUUGGUCACUGGUCUUUGGGAAGCUUGGACAGAAGUGGGGCAGCCAUGGAGCUGCUGACUGGGACUGGCCUGUGGCCCGUGGUCAUAGUCACAGUCAUCUUCAUAUUACUGGUGGACAUGUUGCACCGGUGCCAGCGCUGGACUUCUUGCUGCCCACCAGACCCUGUGCCAUGGCCUGUGCUGGGUAACCUGCUGCAGGUGGACCUGGAUAACAUGCCAUAUAACUUGUACAAGCUUCACAACCGCUAUGGUGACGUGUUCAGCCUGCAGAUGGGCUGGAACCACAUGGCCGUGAUCAACGGACUGAAGGUGUGGUCCUUGCUCCUUAUGGGCCUGAGUGGAAAGAGCAGAGGUGAUUCUCUGCGUCGACCCUGUGCAACUUCAGCCUGGGCAAGAAAUCACUGGAGCAGUGGGUGAUGGAAGAGGUUGGACACCUCUUUGAUGUCUUCACUGCCCAUGCUGAGGAGGCUGUAGACAAGAGAUUUGGAAAGAACACAUCUAGAAGUGUCCACCACAGUAAUAGGAGCCUGGAGAUUGACAUACAGCAAAAGGAAGUGAGAAGCUGACCAAGGUCAGGGCUUCUAGAAGCUGAGACCCUGGCCCUCUGCCCACAUGGAACAUCUGUGAGAUUUUCCAGGUUCUGAACACAUUCCCAAUUCUCCUACGCAUCCCAGGGUUGGCUGACAAAGUCUUCCCUGGGCAAAAGACAUUUCUCAUAAUGGUGGAUAAGCUGGUGACUGAGCACAAGAGGACCUGGAACUCGGACCAGCCGCCUCGAGACCUGACUGAUGCCUUUAUGGCUGAGAUGGAGAAGGCAAAGGGAAACCCUGAGAGUAGCUUCAAUGAUGCAAAUCUAUGUCUGGUUGUCCUUGACCUGCUGGGUGCUGCAACUGUGACCACCUCAACCACACUGUCCUGGGCCCUGCUGCUUAUGAUCCUGCAUCCGGAUGUGCAGUGCCAAGUACAACAGGAAAUCGAUGAGGUCAUUUGGUAUGUGUGGCUUCCAGAGAUGGCAGACCAGGUCUGCAUGCCCUUCACCAAUGCUGUCAUUCAUGAGGGCAUGACUCUCAUCUCCAACCUGUUCCGUGCUGAAGGAUGAGACUGUCUGGGAGAAGCCCCUUCGCUUCCAUCCUGAACACUUCCUGGAUGCCCAGGGCCACUUUGUGAAGCCUGAGGCCUUCAUGCCAUUCUCAGCAGGUGCCUCUAGGGUGCCUUCCUGCCUAUCUUUCCCUAGGGUGCCUUGGAGGGUGGAGCACCAAUCAGGUCCCAGACUGAGCCCUCUUCUACACAUAGGCCACAGAUCAUGCCUGGGGGAGCCCCUGGCCCUCAUGGAGCUCUUCCUCUUCUUCACCUGCCUCCUGCAGCGCUUUAGCUUCUCAAUGCCAGCUGGACAAUCCCUUCCCAGUGAUUAUGGCAUCUAUACAAUGCCAGUUACUCCAGCACCUACCAGCUCUGUGCAGUGGUUUGCUAGCAGGGGCAGUGGCUCCAGCCAUCAUCACAGAUUGUUCUGACUGAUGUCCAAUAAACAAGUUUUGUGUCUGAAUC
rnacentral:lncRNA from 1 species